CUUUAGCAAAAUAGUAGCCAGAUGUGCAUCUCAGUAGCUGCACCUGGGGGAUACAGGAAGCAAUCUUGUGUUUACCCACUUGGUAUGAUAAACAGCAAAGUUUGUGAACGUGUGCAAAAGGGUCAAACGGGGAUUUUUACCCAUAUACUGCUCUAUCUAACAGGUCCUGAAUAUCUUUACCUGAGCAUCACAGGGGGUAAAAUAACCCCACACCACUCAUCUGUUAUGAAAACAUGUAUUUUAUCAUAAUGGAAUGUGGGCAUGACUCAGCUGCACCUGGGGAAAGAAGAAACCCAUCUGUGCAUUCAUCCACUUGUGGCAAAUGGCAAGGUGUGCACAGGAGCUCCAAAGCAGCAACAGCCCAAUUCAGUACAAUUGCUCAUGAAAAUGCAGAUUUGGAAGUUUUGGAGGAGGUCAAAAGUGAAUCAUCAGAUUACUCAUGCAUGGAUGAUGAAGAUGAUAAUGACUCUGACAUUGGCCAUGUGAGCCAAAGGUCCUGUAACAGUGAAAUGGAGCAAGAAUCAACCGAUACAGACAGAGGGAAUGUAGACCUCCUUGAUUCAGAUGAUGAGGAAAACAACAAUGUAAGUAUAUAUUUGACUGGUCAAAAUGUUGCAAAAUGGUCUCGCAUCCGAAAGAAAUGAUCUAAUGUUAGAACUAGGUCCAAAAAUAUAGUGAGGAUUUUGGUAGGGGUGAAACCUAUUGGACAGAAUGUCAGCACUACCAUUCAGUGUUGGAAAUUAUAACAAACAAAAUGCUACAAGAUAUUAAGAAAUACACAAAGGCUGAAAUACAAGUAAAACAUUCUCUAUGCACCAGUAGCCACAUUAAAAAAUGUAUUUAUUAUGACACCUCACUAGCUGAGCUGAAAGCAUUCAUAGGUC
rnacentral:lncRNA from 1 species